rnacentral:rRNA from 1 species
CAGUCGCCGCGGGAAUACGUAGGUGGCAAGCGUUGUCCGGAAUUAUUGGGCGUAAAGGGCUCGCAGGCGGUUUCUUAAGUCUGAUGUGAAAGCCCCCGGCUCAACCGGGGAGGGUCAUUGGAAACUGGGAAACUUGAGUGCAGAAGAGGAGAGUGGAAUUCCACGUGUAGCGGUGAAAUGCGUAGAGAUGUGGAGGAACACCAGUGGCGAAGGCGAUUCUCUGGUCUGUAACUGACGCUGAGGAGCGAAAGCGUGGGGAGCGAACAGGAUUAGAUACCCGAGUAGUCCCUGUCUCUUAUAC